rnacentral:lncRNA from 1 species
GCGGGUAUGAGCAGCCAGGAUAUUGAUAGGGGCAGUCAAGAAAAGAAUUCUACUGAAAUAAGGAUGAUGAAUUCCCAUGGACAGCUAGCAAAUUAUCUGAUGUGGGAAGCAGGUUCAGGAUUUCUGAACGAUGGAUGAUCCUGAUUGACAUUUCAUGUGACAGUUCUCAAUCUCUUCGUGAUUGGGAAAGUGGCACUUAUAACCACCAUCUACUGGCAAGUCAUUGGCUCUCUCUCCUUCUUGG